UUGCUCGUCAAACGGAGCUUGCCUUCCCUCCCUGCGAGCACAGGGGCAGGGGCUGGACAGGACCCCUGGGCUGUCGGCAGAGGGGUCUGCAGGGGCACCAGGAGCUUCUUUUGGAGCUUUAGCGCGCUGCCACCCUCGCCUCGGGACCAGGAGCACAUCCGAUUAUUUACCAUUUACAGCGACACCGGUCCCAGGAGCAGCAAACUCUACACCGAGGAUGGUUUUUUUUGGUUAAAAGCCAAAGAAAGGGACAGCAGCUAUUCGGAGUGUGUGGUGGAUUCAGCAAUUCACAUUUCUAGUUCGGGAAAAGGCAUCUGGAGGAAACGGUCCAGGGUUUUGCGAGGCAAGGUACUGCAAGAUAUGGAUUAAAUUGAAGGGAACCAGUCUGAAAGCAGGAUUUUAAAAGGAACACAACCCAGAAACUGCAUAUAUUUGUGGAAAGGGAGAAGAUGAGUCACAUUUAUUGGAUUUGGAAGAUUAAUGAA